GGAGGACGAGUAUUAAGGAUUAGUAGCAGGAGGAAUAGGACGAGGAAGAAGAGGUAGAGGAGGAGGAGGAGGAGGAAAAAGGAGAACAAGAAGAAAACGAAAUAAGAGAAGGAUAGAGAGGUGGGGCAGCGAGGGGAGAGGAUGAUUGGCCUUAAAACUAAUGUCCUUAUCGAGGGGGAAACAGGAGCGUGUGAUUGUAGGGCACAGAAUGACAGGCAACAGCGAGCCAUCAACCUUAUGACGAGGGGAGGAAAGCAAAACGUGAGGAGCCUGAAAAGUCCUGCAUAUGUAAAAUAAUAACUCAUUCGUAAUAUCAGGGAAGGAGAGGAAAGAAAAAUCCCUCGGUACUAGUAUGAAAGAGUGUUAGGGAAAGGUCGGUUUUAAAAUGAAGGAGUGAAAAUAUAAUAGUUCUGGUUCUAAAGAGAGAAAAAAAGGAUGAUAGGGAAAGGUCGCUAUUAAAAUGAAGGAGUGAAAAUAUAAUAGAGAAAAAUAGCGAUGAGAAAGAACGACAGAACAGGAAGGUCGCUAUUAAAAUGGAGUGAAAAUAUAAUAGAGAGAGAAAAAUAGCGAUGAGAAAGAACGACAGAACAGGAAGGUCGCUAUUAAAGUGGAGUGAAAAUAUAAUAGAGAGAGAAAAAUAGCGAUGAGAAAGAACGACAGAACAGGAAGGUUGAUAUUGACAGAAAAGAGGGAAAAAAAAAAAAUCAUUAGUACAAAAAGAACAAUAGAAAAAGAGGUUACUAUUUGAAUGAAAGAAUGACAUAGAAGAGAACUCACUCCUGGCACUAAAUAACGAAGAAAAACUUAUAGGGAUAAUAAAAUAACAUAGAAGAGUUACAAUUAGCGUGAAAGAAUGACCGAAAACUCACAUGCAGUACUGGCAGGAAAUAACAAAAAAUAAAUAAAUAAA